rnacentral:lncRNA from 1 species
AGUAGGUUAAGGUAAUUAUCUUUUAUGGAAGGAAUUAAACAUUACCAAGUUAUAUGUAUCCAAUCUGGUUAAGCCCAUUUUCUCUAUCCGUAUACAAUAGCCCUAAAGUUGUUAAAAUAUAAUGAUGGCCUUGUUUUUUCUUACUUUUUUAUUCGACUUUAAUCUGAUUCUUUAAUCUAACCUGGAGGUUAUGAUUUUAUGGAAGAAAAGAUA